UACGAAGGGGGCGAGCGUUGUUCGGAUUUACUGGGCGUAAAGGGCGCGCAGGCGGCUCAUUUUGUCAGGCGUGAAAGCCCCGGGCUUAACCUGGGAACUGCGUUUGAUACGGAUGGGCUAGAGUCCUGGAGAGGAAGGCGGAAUACUUGGUGUAGAGGUGAAAUUCGUAGAUAUCAAGUGGAACACCGGUGGCGAAGGCGGCCUUCUGGACAGUGACUGACGCUGAGACGCGAAAGCGUGGGGAGCAAACAGG
rnacentral:rRNA from 1 species